GUCCACUGUACAGUUCCAUAUGCCAACGAUGUGCGUACCAAACUAAUUGCCCCAAGACAAUCUUUCAUAGAGCCGCGGAGAUUUCGGCCCUGACCAGAGCUGCGGGAAUUACAGAUAGAAGGGGCCAAGGCCACCACUCCAGUCCCCUUCUUGAAAGGGAGAAGAUCACAUUUAAAAACAAGUAAAAUUAUACUGGUUUGGGUUAAAAGGGAGAGGGCUGUUUUCGGAGUGAGGAGCCUCAAAAUAUCCUGUGACAUCCCCUGAAUCGCUUCUGAAAAGUCACAUUUGGAAAACUCCUUCCCUUGACUAAAGCUGUUCCUUAUGAAGGAGAAUGAAAUGGCAAGUCUGCUCUGCCUCUCUCCAUCUUCUUUCAACCAAUGGGCUAGCCAGAGUCAUUCUUCUCAUGGAAAGGAUAGAAGCUUAUGACAGUGAUAAAAAUAUAUGAUUUAUCUUUUGCCAUAAGGUAUUGUUUUAUCCUGUAUUUUGUUAGUUAAAUCAAGUUGCAUGGUUAUGCCCAUGGUCACAGAUUAGAGAACCACCUG
rnacentral:lncRNA from 1 species